rnacentral:lncRNA from 10 species
CAAAACAGCUUGGGGUUGUUUGAUGUUCAUGAACUGAGUAAAAAUAAAAUACUGCCCCUGUGAAAUUAUGUCCACGUCAUUAAAACCAUUAAUACAAUGUUGCAGGAAAAAGCAGCUUAGUCUCUCUACAAGACAUAGCAGUAUGAGUACAGCUAACAAUGGAUAAUAUGUAGAGUGCCAUGCAGUCUUAUUAGGUAAAUUAAGUAGUUGUAGUCUCAAAACAACUUUAAAAGUCAGCUCAUUUAAUUACAAAAUAUGCUAAAUAUAUCACCCAACAGAUUGGAGACAGUCUGGUUGGCUGAUUUAUUUUUACUUUGAUAUUACAUUUCUUACAUGUUUAAAAAAUUCUUUUGUGACCAUUUAGGGAGGAAAAAAGUCUCCUUGUGUAACAUUUAGUACUUUCCUGGGUCUAUUCUUUAUAUUCUGAGGAACUGGAGUCACUCAAUUAAUUACUAUAAUGUUUUGUGUUUUCUUUUUCACAGGAAUAACUAACCUCAAAUUUGUAACCGUUCUGCUUUUUGCCACCCAACAUACCCUGCAGUGGCUCUCAAACCUGUACCUGAGGAAAGUGGUCCACUCCCACCAGUGAGAAGACUCACAGGGCAGCAGGGAUUCUUAGCUAGAGGGCAUAGCCAUUGAAAGAGAUGAAAACGGAAUCUCCUGGAGUGUGUGUGAUUUCAAAAAGCUCCCCAGAAAAUUAGUCUGGCAGCAGGAUGGAGGAUGGCUUGGAGAGAAGAGCAAAAAGAAGCAGGGAGGGUUGUUGGGAAGACGGAAACAGGUCUGAGACAAACAAAGAAGUCUUGACAGCACUUGAGCAACUGAAGAAAAGGGAGGAAGGGUGAGUUUUGAAAAUAAUUUGAAUCAAAUAUCAAUAGGACAUAUUUGCUGUUGGAUUGCGAGAAUAGGGAGAAGAUAAAGACUCAAGAUCUUCAAUCUGGGCUUCUUCCCUCUAUCCUGCCUUCUUCACAUAUUGCCAUUUUCUGUCUCUUCCUAACUGCCAAACUUCUUGAAAGAGUUGUUCUCACUUACUGUGUUCACAAUCUUACUUCUUUCUCACCACUUUAAUGAAAUGGUUCUGGAAAAGGUCAUAAAUGACUUAACUUAUAAAUGGAGUGGCCUCUUUUCAGUCCUCAUUCUCUUAGCACCCUACAGAGCGUUUGGGAAUAUUGACUUCUCUCUUCAUCCUAAAACAUUUGCUUCCAUGGGCUUUUAUAACGUUGCACCUAUUUGUCUCUUCUCCCACACCUCUGUUUACUUUUUAAAAUCUUUGAAUGGCUCUUGUCAUUCUGUUAACAUCUUAUAUAUGUGGGUCCUUGGAAUUUUAUUCUUUUUUUUUUUUUUUUCUGAGACUGGGUCUCGCUCUGUCGCCCAGCCUGGAGUGCAGUGGUGUGAUCUUGGCUCACCGCAACCUCUGCCUCCCAGGUUCAAGUGAUUCUCCUGCCUCAGCCUCCCAAGUAGCUGGGAUUACAGGCACGUGCCACCACACCUAGCUAAUUUUUGUAUUUUUUGGUAGAGAUGGGAUUUCACCAUGUUGGCCAGGCUGGUCUCAAACCUCUGACCACAAGUGAUCUGCCCGCCUUGGCCUUGCAAAAUGCUGGGAUUACAGGCAUGAGCCACCAUGCCCAGCCCAGAAUUUUAUUCUUACUCUUCUUAUCACCUCAUUCCCUGAAUCCCCCACACCACUGCCAAAUUCUGAGUCAUCAACUUCUAUAACUUUGCCUAUCAUUUACAGCAAAUCCCAAAAUUACAGCUUAUGCCCAAAUGGCUCUCCUGAAGUAUAGACUUGUAGUUUCCAUUGCCUUCUGAAUGUCUCUACUUGGAUGACUCAUAAUCAUUUCAAAAUCACGAUGUUCAAAACCAAAUUUCAUAUAUCCUCCACCCACACAAAAAACAACAAAACCCACUUUUCCUUCUCCAUUUCCUAUCUCAGUUAAUGAUAUUGCUCUCCAAUUAUUUAACUAAGCUAAAUCUGUCCAUGCUUCUCCAUUAAACACCCAUAUAUGGUUUGUUUUGUGUUAUCCUCUUGACUCUCCAUACUCCGUAUCUACUGCCAUUGCCUUUUUCCAGGUCUAUGUAGUUUCCCACUGAGACUCCUCCUAACUCAUCCCAGUUCAUCUAGUUGCUCUACACUCUA